GGACAGGCUGCUGCACAGCUGCACAGUGGUCCAUGGUCGGGUGUCACUACCAGUCCACACCCCCUUCGUACUUGGCGGGCUGACGUCAGAGCUGCGUUGCGCAGUACGUAGAGGGCACAUGCAAAUGACAAAUCUUAGGCCACGGCAGGUGCGCUUUGUAAAGUCAGCCAGAGUAGUGGACGCUUCCUCGCUGAAGAAAAGUGGGUGGUGGCAGGUGGAACCACUGAACAGGUGCUGAACACUUUGUUCUCCCUACUUAUCCGCCCGGAAGAGGACAGCGCCUUUGACCACGAUGUUCUGAACAAUUAUCACCAUUACAAGAUGGAGUAUGAUGCUGCAAAGGCCACAUAGACGUCACAUUGCAUACUGGUUAACCCGGAAGCUGUUUUGACCUCAAUGACUGACACUGUUGUUCUAAAUCUAAUGCGGCAUUUCUGUGCUUAUUGUUGUUGUUGUUGCAAUUCCCUGUCACGUAAGCUCACAAUGGAUACAACAUAUUUGAUGACAAUCAUAAGUACUAGAUGUUUUAGGUCUCACUACACGUUGCCGACUUAUGUACGUCUUCAGUGAUAAGAGUAACCAGUGGUGAUUCAGUCGAUGCAUCAAACUAAGAAUUGUGAAGCUCAGUACAUUGUACUCGUUACAGUUGUUGUGCAAUAAAGUGUAUGUGUAUAUGUAUGUACGAAUGACAACGUCAAUUCCCAGGUCAAAGAAGAGUAUGUGACUUCUCGUCAACAUUUAAUAGGUUACCGCUUGUCGGCGAAUGUUGGACACCGAAGUAAGGAGGUUCGACGCCUCAAAAUUUAUAGCAGGGUCCAAAUUAUUCAACAAGAAUAUCUCUCAUUGAUGCUGUACACCAAACCCGUUAGACACACAAUCCUUUAUCUGUCCUUGGUGAUGAACACCAUCCGUAUGCUCGCAGACAUACCUCUCCCCAGUGCUGAACACUAAAAAUGCGUAUUUUUCGUAUUUGAUGAAAUGGCAAACACAUCGGUAGACAGAUUUGUUAACUCUUUUUAUUCAUUAAAUAUACAUAUAACGUCCUACUCUGCAUGAAAUAUUGAUAUAUGUCUUAUGAUGUCCAUGGAAUCUCCAAAGCCCACAACACGUAACAUAUAACAGAGUCAGAGAUACGUUUAUGAAUAGAAUACAUAAGUUACAUUUACAUACGAUCCUUAAAAGUUCAAACGGAUUUUCUAGUUAGCUGUACGGGUAUUGGACUGUUUCUGCCAGUUCAUUAUAGUAAAUUUCCGUUUGUUUCCAACUUUGGAGACAGAAGUGUUUUUGAAAACGAAGUUAGAGAUUUGAAAACAGGCGAAUUGAAAAACGAACUCCUUGUUUACACAGAUUAGUUCCUAGUUUCAAUAUCAAUUACAUGUAUUAUCUCUUCACCUUACGUUACCAAAAUGUCAUAAUCAGAAGCAUUUCCAAAGACUAUCAAACAGAACUGGGUACCUUCCCAUCAACACAAACAAAGGGCAUCACGUAACCUUUGUUUACGAAUGGUGAACAGAAUUUGCAAGUUGAUUAACAUAUGACAAUUUCAUACAUUGUCUUAGGGACUUACAAUAUUGUCACUGUCCAUAACGAUAUUCUUCUUUACAAACUAAAAUAUCAGUUUUGUGUUUUAUCAUCUAUUCUGUUUUUAAACCGCUAUCUGUCAAUUACAUUUUGUACUUUGAAUCCACGCGUAAAAGCCGUCUUAGUUGUCACCAGGAAUGGUCUUCUGCACGUCGGCAAUUUCGCACUUGCUGUCAUAACUGCCGCACUGGUAACUUCCGUUCUGUGCGGGCUUCAGGCAGAUGAAGCAGAACUUCUGGCCACAAACACAGGCCUGGAAAAAUA